rnacentral:rRNA from 1 species
GCUUCCCUCUUUCUUCGUGCCUAAUACAUGCGAGUCGAGCGAACGGACGGGAAGCUUGCUUCUCUGAUGUUAGCGGCGGACGGGUGAGUAACACGUGGAUAACCUACCUAUAAGACUGGGAUAACUUCGGGAAACCGGAGCUAAUACCGGAUAAUAUUUUGAACCGCAUGGUUCAAAAGUAAAAGACGGUCUUGCUGUCACUUAUAGAUGGAUCCGCGCUGCAUUAGCUAGUUGGUAAGGUAACGGCUUACCAAGGCAACGAUGCAUAGCCGACCUGAGAGGGUGAUCGGCCACACUGGAACUGAGACACGGUCCAGACUCCCACGGGAGGCAGCAGUAGGGAAUCUUCCGCAAUGGGCGAAAGCCUGACGGAGCAACGCCGCGUGAGUGAUGAAGGUCUUCGGAUCGUAAAACUCUGUUAUUAGGGAAGAACAUAUGUGUAAGUAACUGUGCACAUCUUGACGGUACCUAAUCAGAAAGCCACGGCUAACUACGUG